CACGUAGUUAGCCGGAGCUUAUUCCUCAGGUACCGUCAAAUUCCUCUUUCUUCCCUGAUAAAAGAACUUUACAUUACGAAUAACUUCUUCGUUCACGCGGCGUUGCUCGGUCAGGGUUCCCCCCAUUGCCGAAAAUUCCCUACUGCUGCCUCCCCGUAGGAGUAUGGACCGUUCUCAGUUCCAUUGUGGCCGUUCAACCUCUCAGUCCGGCUACGCAUCAUCGCCUUGGUAGGCCCUUACCCCACCAACUAGCUAAUGCGCCACAGGCCCCUCCUUAAGCAGAUCUCUCUUUUAAAUAUAAAAGAUUCUUCCUCUAUAUCCUAUCCAGUUUUAUCCAUCGUUUCCAAUGGCUAUCCUCGUCUUAAGGGUAGGUUACCUAUGUAUUACUCACCCGUUCGCCACUAAAGUACCCGAAGGUACUUCCGUUCGACUUGCAUGUAUUAGGCACGCCGCCAGCGUUAAUCCUGAGCCAGGAUCAAACUCU
rnacentral:rRNA from 1 species